GGUGGUUCUUGGGUGAGCCCGGAAUCAGGCUCCCUCCUCUCUGGUUCUGGGAGUGUCACCCAAGAACCGCA
rfam:Myotis davidii contig163261, whole genome shotgun sequence.